ANUUUAUACUGUGCUGCGNAGGGCUCAUUAUAUCAGUUAUAAUUUAUUUGAUGGUAUUUUACCACGGGGAUAACUGGGAAAAUUCUAGAUAAUACGUGCAAACAACCCCCGACCGCAGGUAGGGGAGNGGAUAGCUNANUGCCCUCCGCCCCUCGCUCCCUUUUCGACUCAAAAUACCUUCUCCAAUCGAAUUGCUCGGCCCAUGGGACCUUUGAUUUACUGAUCUGUCNUAUUUCUUUGCCUGGGNAAGGUUUCGGCCUGCCAUGAANUGGAAUCGGGGGNUNAAGCUUACGGGGAAUANAUAGAAGACUACCNUUUACUACGGGAAACGGGGAAGACGAUUCAUUCGAAUUUCUGCCCCAUCAACUCUCGAUGGUAGGAUAGAGGCCUACCAUGGUCGCAACGGGUAACGGGGAAUA
rnacentral:rRNA from 1 species